CCUACGGGGGACUGCAGUGAGGAAUAUUGGUCAAUGGGCGUAAGCCUGAACCAGCCAAGUCGCGUGAGGGAUGAAGGUUCUAUGGAUCGUAAACCUCUUUUAUAAGGGAAUAAAGUGCGGGACGUGUCCCGUGUUGUAUGUACCUUAUGAAUAAGGAUCGGCUAACGCCGGGCCAGCAGCCGCGGUAAUACGGAGGAUCCGAGCGUUAUCCGGAUUUAUUGGGUUUAAAGGGUGCGUAGGCGGCCUUUUAAGUCAGCGGUGAAAGUCUGUGGCUCAACCAUAGAAUCGCCGUUGAAACUGGGUGGCUUGCGUAUGUUUGAGGCAUGCGGAAUGCGUGGUGUAGCGGUGACAUGCUUAGAUCUCACGCAGAACCCCGAUUGCGAAGGCAGCCUGCCAAGCCAUGACUGACGCUGAUGCACGAACGCGUGGGGAUCAAACAGGAUUAGAUACCCCUGUAGUC
rnacentral:rRNA from 1 species